AACGUAGGAGACAAACGUUAUCCGGAGUUACUGGGCGUAAAGGGCGUGUAGGCGGUUUGGUAAGUGGGAUGUGAAAUGCCUCGGCUCACCCGAGGACCGGCAUCCCAAACUGCCAAGCUUGAGUAUGGGAGAGGAUGUGGGAAUUCCCGGUGUAGCGGUGAAAUGCGUAGAUAUCGGGGAGGAACAUCAGUGGCGGAAGGCGGCCCUCUGGUCCAGUACUGACACUCGAAGU
rnacentral:rRNA from 1 species